rnacentral:lncRNA from 1 species
UGAUGCUUUUGCUUGAUCAUCAAGCGGGACAAAACGUAAAUCCAUAUGCGUAAUACAAGCAGGAAUAUGACCAUUUUGAUAUAUAGGACGCAUACAAUGAUGUCAUUUGGGUCGGAGUGUUAUUAGGUAUGCCAACACCAAUUUCUCCUUGUUUUGGUUAAGCUGGAUUACGGUUGAUCAGUCAACUCCUUUCUUGUUCUUGAUUUGACUUUAGUUUAUUCACCUUUCUUU